CAGGCAGGCCCGCGGGGGAGGCAGGACCGGAGCCCUGAGGACCUGGCCGGCCUCGGGGUUGAGGCUCAGCUCGGGAUAAGUGAUCUUUGGGGCCCGCAGAGGACGUCUCCCCAAGACCCAGUGGCAACCGGGGCACCACUGAGUUCAGUACUUCAAAAUUGCCGUGCUCUACCUCUCCCCAGUGCACAGAAACACUCUCCACACCAAGCUGCUGCUGCUGGGGGAUGGAGGGAUGGCGUCAGCGAUUCAAGACUGUUUUUCCUACCUGUUCAGCACUUCUUUCAGCGAUAUGAAGUUAAAUCCAGGCCAAGUUCCCACCUGGUGGGAAGCACUGUGCAGGUUCGUGGGGAUGCAGCCCUGCACAGCCCAGACUGGACUCCUUCCCCAUGGAACUCACAACACACGGGAGAGGCAGAGAGAUCCAAGCGCACAGAAAAACACAAGAAGAUUCAGCCCUGUCAUCUUGUGCAAAUCCUCACUGUCCCCAGAAGGAAGAGAGGCACACAGCGCUCCCCAGCCGCUGGAAUCCAGGAAGAAUUGAGGUGCUCAAGACCCACCACCUCUUUGCCUGCAAACUCUAAGCUCACUGUCCUGCUCCCUUGCUCCCAGAAGUGGCACUGGAUGGAUCCCAUCCAGGUCAGCCCAGGCUGUCAUUUCCUCCCCUUCUGUACCUAAUCUCAGCGAGAUGAAGAGUUUACACCUGUUUCUCACUUGAAUUAGGGAAGUCUAGUUUGCAUUCUCCUGACUGGAUGGGCCUGCAUUGAAUCUUUCAUCUCAUUGGUCUGGGGAUUUGGUUCUGAAGACCAAUGCCUUCCAGAAUCUUCCUGUCUCUCCCCAAAUUCUGGGCAGUUCUGUUUCCAGCACUCAUCCAUGAUGGGGGGUACAGGAAAUGAGUGUCGAGGGAAAGGCAUCCCACCUUCUCUCUGUUCCAUCUCAGAUCUGACAACUCACUGGAAAGUUCUUCUCUGUGUCCCUGUCCCCCGUCUGGUUCUGAGGCCGCUGCUUUCCCCAGCCUUGGUGCCUUGGGUUUUCUGCUCUGUGAAAUGAACCAGGUCCCUUAUCCUGUUCUCCCCUGAAGAAAAGAGGGUGUGGGGGGCUUGGCACAGGAAAUGGCCCUUGCCUUUCACAGGCUUUGGGGUCUGAGGGCAGCUCUGAUGCCCCAGCAUGCUUUUCCAACCCAACAACUGGGGAGACCCGCUUGCCAUUUUACCACCCAGUAUCUG
rnacentral:lncRNA from 1 species